AAUCACCCCAUUCAUCGUCUUCAGCAGAGGGGUUGAUUGAUUUGGGUAGUGGGUUGAACUGGGUGUUGAGAUAAUUGGUAGAUGCGAAGGUGAAAUCGCCGAAGCUGUCAUCGUCGUCUUCCGCCAUAGUUGUCGCAGCGGGCGGUGGUUUUGCGUCACCUUGUUCCCCCGACUGUACGGAGCUGUUAUGUUCCAUUUCGCGGUCUCAACCGCCCAACUCUGACUAGCUUUAAUUCCCGAGUGCUCCUUUGGUCACGUGCUAAACUCCUUCCUACUUGCAUAGUCAAUGUAAUUACACAUUCAGGUUCAGAUCCGCUAGGGUGUUCGAUGAAAUCACCCCAUUCAUCGUCUUCAGCAGAGGGGUUGAUUGAUUUGGGUGGUGGGGUGAACUGGGUGUUGAGGUAAUUGGUAGAUGCGAAGGUGAAAUCGCCGAAGCUUUCAUCAUCGUCUUCCGCCAUAGUCGUCGCAGCGGGCGGUGGUGCGCGGCGGUUUUGCGUCACUUUGUUCCCCCCGACUGUACGAGGCUGUUAUGUUCCAUUCUGCGGUCUCAACCGCCCAACUCCGACUAGCUUUAAUUCCCGAGUGCUCCUUUGGUCACGUGCUAAACUCCUUCCUACUUAGAGCAUGUUUGCAAAGUCAUUGUAAUUACACAAUUUAAUAUUACACACUC
rnacentral:lncRNA from 1 species